rnacentral:rRNA from 1 species
GAUGAACGCUAGCGGCAGGCCUAAUACAUGCAAGUCGGACGGGAUCCAUCGGAGAGCUUGCUCGAAGAUGGUGAGAGUGGCGCACGGGUGCGUAACGCGUGAGCAACCUACCUCUAUCAGGGGGAUAGCCUCUCGAAAGAGAGAUUAACACCGCAUAACAUCAACAGGUCGCAUGUACGGUUGAUUAAAUAUUUAUAGGAUAGAUAUGGGCUCGCGUGACAUUAGCUAGUUGGUAGGGUAACGGCCUACCAAGGCGACGAUGUCUAGGGGCUCUGAGAGGAGAAUCCCCCACACUGGUACUGAGACACGGACCAGACUCCUACGGGAGGCAGCAGUAAGGAAUAUUGGUCAAUGGGCGGAAGCCUGAACCAGCCAUGCCGCGUGCAGGACGACUGCCCUAUGGGUUGUAAACUGCUUUUGUCCAGGAAUAAACCUCUUUACGUGUAGAGAGCUGAAUGUACUGGAAGAAUAAGGAUCGGCUAACUCCGUGCCAGCAGCCGCCGUAACAC